CGGGCCUUGCAGGCCAGCACCCAGCUGCUGACUGCCUAUCGAGAGACAGUUCAUAGCACAACUCAGGAAACUUUUCAUCAGUUUGGAUCUCUGAUUGGAGCAAUAGCACCAUACAGCUGUGAUUCACUGGCCUCGUCUCGUCAGUGGGUGUUUGACUGUAUCAGCUGCCUUCUCUGUAUACAAGGCCAGCCCAUGAACCUGGGGUCAGCGGAAGAGGAGCUGAGAUGUCUCCGUGAAGAACUAAC